GGACACGAGGGACAAGGGAGGGAAGAAGGCAUCUGAAAAUACUGAAGAGCUGACAGGGUAGUGAGGAAUCCCCAAGCCCAUAUCUAGAAGAUUGGAACCAUGGAGAAAAAUCUGAAACGCCGUGAGGAUGAGCCCAUGGUGUCCCGGCCCGUGUAGACACCAGCUCAACUUCCAAUCUUCUCAAGCCCCGAUGGCUCAGACCCCCAGGUGCCUGCAAGAAGCAAAUGAAAAUCCUCACUGGAGGCCAAAAACAAAAAAGAAGUCCAGAAUAAAGACGUUUUCAGACCAACAAAACCAAGAGAGUUUGUCACAAGCAGAACUGUAUUAAAGAAAACCUUAAAGUGAGUGGUUUCAAGUAGAAGGAAAAUUACCCCAGAUGAAAUGUCAAAGAUGUACAAUAAAUGAAGAGGAAUGAAA